UACGUAGGGGGCAAGCGUUGUCCGGAAUCAUUGGGCGUAAAGAGCGUGUAGGCGGCCCGAUAAGUCCGCUGUGAAAGUCCAGGGCUCAACCCUGGGAUGCCGGUGGAUACUGUCGGGCUCGAGUCCGGAAGAGGCGAGUGGAAUUCCUGGUGUAGCGGUGAAAUGCGCAGAUAUCAGGAGGAACACCUAUUGCGAAGGCAGCUCGCUGGGACGUAACUGACGCUGAGACGCGAAAGCGUGGGGAGCAAACAGG
rnacentral:rRNA from 1 species